ensembl:rRNA 5S_rRNA 5S ribosomal RNA
UGCCACAGCCAUAUCACCCUGCAGCCCAAGACUGGUUGCCCACUGAAGCUAAGCAGGGUUGAGCCUGGUCAGUACCUGGUUGGGAGACCUCCUGGGAAAACUAGGUUGCUGUUGGAA